rnacentral:rRNA from 1 species
AAUACGUGCUGACGAGCGGCGAACGGGUGAGUAACGCUUCGGAAUCUGCCCAAUGGUGGGGAAUAACCAGCCCAAAGGUUGGCUAAUACCGCAUGAGCCCUACGGGGGAAAGCGGGGGAUCGUAAGACCUCGCGCCGAUGGAUGAGCCGAAGCCGGAUUAGCUAGUUGGUAGGGUAACGGCCUACCAAGGCGACGAUCCGUAGCUGGUCUGAGAGGACGACCAGCCACACUGGGACUGAGACACGGCCCAGACUCCUACGGGAGGCAGCAGUGGGGAAUAUUGGACAAUGGGGGAAACCCUGAUCCAGCGACGCCGCGUGUGUGAAGAAGGCCUGCGGGUUGUAAAGCACUUUUAGUGGGGAUGAAAAGCUCAGGGCUAACACCUCUGGGUCUUGACCUAACCCACAGAAAAAGCACCGGCUAACUCUGUGCCAGCAGCCGCGGUAAUACAGAGGGUGCAAGCGUUAAUCGGAAUUACUGGGCGUAAAGCGUACGUAGACGGUUGGAUAAGUCAGAUGUGAAAGCCCCGGGCUCAACCUGGGAAUUGCAUUUGAGACUGUUCAGCUAGGGUGCGGAAGAGGGAAGCGGAAUUU